rnacentral:rRNA from 1 species
AACGCGAAGAACCUUACCAGGGCUUGACAUCCCUCUGACCGGUCGGUAACGCGACCUUCCCUUCGGGGCAGAGGUGACAGGUGGUGCAUGGUUGUCGUCAGCUCGUGUCGUGAGAUGUUGGGUUAAGUCCCGCAACGAGCGCAACCCUUGUCAUUAGUUGCCAUCAGGUAAAGCUGGGCACUCUAAUGAGACCGCCGGGGAUAACUCGGAGGAAGGUGGGGAUGACGUCAAAUCAUCAUGCCCCUUAUGUUCUGGGCUACACACGUGCUACAAUGGCCGGUACAAAGAGCAGCGACCACGCGAGUGCGAGCGAAACUUAAAAACCGGUCUCAGUUCGGAUUGCAGGCUGAAACCCGCCUGCGUGAAGCACGAGUUGCUAGUCCUCGUGAAUCAGAAUGUCACGGUGAAUGCGUUCCCGGGUCUU